CCUACGGGUGGCAGCAGUGGGGAAUAUUGGGCAAUGGGCGCAAGCCUGACCCAGCAACGCCGCGUGAAGGAAGAAGGCUUGCGGGUUGUAAACGUCUUUUCGGAGGGACGAAGAAAGUGACGGUACCUCAGGAAUAAGCCACGGCUAACUACGUGCCAGCAGCCGCGGUAAGACGUAGGUUGCAAGCGUUAUACGGAUUUAUUGGGUGUAAAGGGCGUGUAGGCGGGAACGCAAGUCAGAUGGGAAAACUCAGGGCUCAACCCGGAGCCUGCAUUUGAAACUGUUUUUCUUGAGUGCUGGAGAGGCAAUCGGAAUUCCGUGUGUAGCGGUGAAAUGCGUAGAUAUCCGGAGGAACACCAGUGGCGAAGGCGGAUUGCUGGACAGUAACUGACGCUGAGGCGCGAAAGCGUGGGGAGCAAACAGGAUUAGAUACCCUAGUAGUC
rnacentral:rRNA from 1 species